rnacentral:tRNA from 1 species
UGGGCCGGUAGCCUAGUCUGGAUAGGGCGUUGGACUUCUAAUCCAAAGGUCGAGGGUUCAAAUCCCUCUCGGUCCGU